UACAAGAAGGAAAAUCGAAGUUUAGUUCUGCUGCAUCAAAGAUUUCAGGAUUAAAAUAACUAAAUGAGUCUUUAUGCCUCAAACUUUAUUUUUACAAUAAAGAAAUAAUGAAAUAAUCACAGAUAAUAAAAAUAUAAAUAGCAGAGAAAACCUGAGAGAAUAAUUUCCUGAAAAGUCUGUGAAGGAAAAGCAGCUUUUUAUCCUGAAAGAUCAGAAUCACCUCCAACAUCUGUAUCUGACAGCAUCAAGUCAACCAGAAAGAAAAGAAAAAAGAAAAUGACUUCUUUCUGAUCACAUUUGUUCCGCUGCUCACAGGCUGCUGCUGCUCACAUUCUUCGCAUUUAUAGUCCACUUUUAAAAGUUCAGCAGACAGGUGCUCUGCUUUGGAGUGUGACGAUGUCAACGGUGAUGUGGAGAGUGAAGUUUCCAUUUCACCCACAGCGUGAUUUAGGGCAGCCGGGUCGGACUUGAUGUUUGAGAUACUGACCGACAGCUCAGAUUUAACUGUCUGUAGUUCUGUUUUGAUGGGUGUUAAACUCUCACUCAAAGCCGCCAGGAGCUGGGUCUUUAAAAUAACCACCGUCUCAUUACAGAGUGAAAGUAGCAAUUCCUCCUUAAGGUCAGAGAUUGCAGCAUCUGAGGGCCUCUUCAAAAGAAGACAUAGUUGAUGAAGGCGUUCUGGAGCAGGGCCAGAAAGACCACGACCAAGCAGCCUUGAGAUCUUAGGCAGCGUCUCCCUCGGGUCCCUCUCUAUCUCCCCACACAUCUACCAACCACUGGAACACAUCUCCAAAGUUCUGCCGGGUCAGCUCAGCUUCCCCUCAGAAGAAGUUCCACCAGAUGAAGGAGCCUUUUGAGAGGCAGCUGGCAUCGUGAUUAGACUGUACUUUGGUCUGUUCCAAUCCAGUUUCAGCUCCAGAGACGGCAGGCGGGACGAGUCAACGGAGGCCGGGUGGACGAAGGCAUGCAGCUGAGUACAAUCCAGAAAACAACAGAGGAGGAGUACAGCGGCCCAGGGCCAGAACAAACAGAGUAGCAUGACCAAAGAACUACAGACUCUUCACAACCUGCUCAAACUCUUGGUACAGGACCUCACCACACAGGUCAAAAAGGUUUCCGUCUCAUUUCUACUCUGAAGCUCACCUUCUCCUGCUCAAACUGCUGACAAAUGUUUCUGCUGCUCUAAAGUCUGCUCUCCAGAACUUCCUAAAAACUCUCAAAGUCUCUUCUGCUGCAGGUUGCUUUGUAGAACUGUUCCAGAAAACCUCACUAAACCACAUGGAGGGGCCUCAAGAUAGUCGUCCAAAUGAAACUGUACAAAAACCAAACUAGCACAACCCAAACGCUAAAGUCUCCUGCAACCUACCAGAGAACCUCUGAGAACAGAGAAUCAGGACAGGAACUCUUACCUUCUGGACAACCAACGUUGGUUCUCAAACAAUACAGAAUGUGUCUGACCAAAAACCUCUAAAGACUCACUACAGCCAAGAUAAAGACACAACUCAGCUGCACCAAAUCCACUAAUCACUGCACACAUUAGCACCAUGUGCUAAGUGUGGCUAAAGAACCACAUUUACCAAGACAACUAUGCAGUACAAAGCCCUAAAACACACCAAGAAACACAUUAAAGAUGAUUUUACUGCUGGAA